GACAGAGGGGGCAAGCGUUAUUCGGAUUUACUGGGCGUAAAGGGCGCGUAGGCGGCUUGGUAAGUCUGGUGUGAAAACGCUACCGCUUAACGGAGCGAUUGCGCUGGAAACUGCCAAACUUGAGUUCGUGAGAGGUCGGUGGAAUGCCUGGUGUAGCGGUGGAAUGCUUAGAUAUCAGGCGGAAUACCUGAGGCGAAGGCGGCCGACUGGCACGAUACUGACGCUGAGGCGCGAAAGCGUGGGGAGCAAA
rnacentral:rRNA from 1 species